UCUUUUCUCAUUUUCUUUUCUAUUUCUUUAUUCUAUAUUCAUAUUUUGUAUUUGUUUCCUUUACGUAUACUAGCUCUAAUACACUAAUAUAUAUAAAGUUCUAUUUAUCUUUAAUAUUACAUUUGAGAUACUAUUAUAUAUAGAUAUAGACAUAUUGUGCAUACACAUAUAUGAAUAAUAUUACAUUGUCUCAACUUUUCAAGUUCAACAUUUCGUAUCUACUAUUCUGAACCCGAGUCCUG
rnacentral:lncRNA from 1 species